UUCUUGCCAUUACAGCAGAAAACAAACUAGAAAAACCAGUGGGGAGAGAAAUGUUGUAGGAUUAAAAAAUCAAGGUUGUUCUUCGACUUAUUUGGAAGAUUUUACGGUGUAGCAAGGGUAUUAGCAGACUCUGUUAUUCAAUUAAAAUACAUAACAGUUGAAGUUAAAGGAAGAAGAAGAAAGAAAACUUUAAGUCGAAUCGACAUGGGUCUUCAAAAAGAGUGUUCUUGGUUUUCUGGCGAUGAUUUGAUAAUAUUUGUUGUUAUUGGUGGUGCUCGAUUAAUGAUGAUUAAGAAAAAUGGUAUGUUAUUGUUGCAUAAGUUAAUUUAUGAUGAUCUUGUUUUGGGCAUCUCUUCAUGGUUUGUUGUAUGUCACUAAUCGAUGAUGGUUAAGGCAAUCUAAUGUGACAGUUGGAAGAGAGUACCAUCUUUGAUAAUUCAUGUUAUGUAGUUAUGCUUUUGUGUGACGAGCAAUGCCUGUGGAUUCAUGUAGUCUAA